UCUCUACUUAGAUACAUUUUAUCUUCUCUUCAUUUUACAGCAACCUAUCAUCUCUUAAGUCAAAAAGCUCUAUCGUUGAUGUCUGAUCUACUACUCCACCAUCUCUGGAGCUAUGGCUGAACCGCCUCCCCCAACCUCAUACUCCUCAUCCACCUCCUCCGCCUCUCUUUCAUUCGACCCAGCUCAUCCAAAUCCUAAAUAACCUCAAUCGAAUCUACAUCCCUUUUUUGCCUAUGAGACUAGAUAAAUAAAUUCAAUUCGGCAACGUCUCUCGUGUUAGAACAUUCAUAAUUGGUCCUUGUUGCAAAUAGUCUAUCUGAUUUUAAAGAGAAGGAGGUAAAUUAAACAUUCAUUAUUGGUCCAUGUUAAAUGAUUCUUGAAUUGGCAAGGAAGAAAAUGUUGUAGGUAUGCUAAAGCUUUGUAGUUUAGUUGUGGCUUGUUUGUUUUUAGCUGCUAAAGUUGAAGAGAUUUAAGUUUCAUUGCUCUAAGACCUCCAAGUCGAGUUUUGUUAUUAGACUAAGUUUUGCAAAAUGACCUUCAUGGACAAGCAGCUUUUGCGGUGGUCUAUUAGUCAGGAUUCAUCUUUUUUUUUCUUGUUGGUGUGGGUCUCUCCUCUACAACUAUCACUUCCAGCUUUGGGAAAGCAAUUUCUGAAUAAUUUGUUUGGAUUGCUAAGGGUAAUGAGUUGUUUCAUUCAUUAGGAUCAAGAUGUAGCACAGUUCAGAGGAUACCAAUCUCAAGGAGAAGGUCUUACCUCCUGUUGAGCAGGUACUACCUUUCCCAUUCUCACAAUUAGUUUGAUGCAGUUUGUGAUAACAACAUUUAGGGAGAUAAAAUUCUGAAGCUGCAUCAUGAGAAUGUUAUUCAACUGCAUCAAACUAAUUGUGAUCUGUGAAUUUGGUGAUGUUCCGGCGGUGAGAUCUGGAUAUUUGGAGAUGAUGGAAGGUGUUGGAGAUGGUGGCAGAAGAUUGGGGAUCAUUUAAUCACUUCAUUCUGAGAUCUGAAAUUGGGGAACAAGACAUGAAGAUCAACUCGUUCAUGAGAAGGGAGAUGCGAAGAAAAUGGUGUGAAAGUACACGAGGCGUAAGAGCGAGGAAGAGGCGGAGGGUUAAAGUGGAGUUUGGAGAAAAUUUUAUUCUUUGUAUUUUAAUUAUACAUUGAAAAAUAAAAUUUUUAUAUAAAUUAUGAAGAUUUUGUUUAUAUU